UGCACUGCGCGUCACCCUCAUCCUUCCCCCGCGCCGUCCACCUCCCUCCACCGCGCGCCGCCACCCUCCUUCCCUGCGCCGACCGCCUCUCUGCACCGCGCGCCGGCCACUUCCCUCCCCCGCGCACCGCACUCCUCCUUCCCCAACGCCCGCCACCUACCUCCAUCGUGCACUCCCGACUUCCUCGUUCAUCCCGCUGUCAUAUCUCGGGCGCCGCCCUCCGGCAACCGGUGAUGCUCCUCCCGCCACCACUAUGCCUCCUUCCCGAUGGAGCUACGCCGCCGCCGCGUGCAGGAAGUCCAUCGCCUCCACCCCAGGCCGUUCAAUGCCAUCGUCGUGGACGUGCCCCGCUCUAACACCAUGGAUUGCGAUUGAGCGGCAAACAAUGGAGCCUGCAGAAGGAGCCGCGGGGUCGAGGACCUCCAGUUCGUCAGUCCAACAAAAGGCUGUAGAAAGUUGAGACUAGUUUGCAUUAAGUACAAGUUUGGAAAGCCAGGAUGUUCUACCGCUGGCAUACACCAAGUUCAGAGAUGUUGCACGGAGUGAGCCGACACCGCCGUAAAAAAUGGUUUAUUAGCAUAGUGUUGUUUGGUACUUAUGCAUACUGUUGUAGAAGUGAAAAUUGUUGGGUGCAUGUGCAGAAAAAUUGUCAGUUCAGUUUUCAAAAUUCUGUAAGUUUGUUUUUAUUUUAUAAAAUUCUGUAGGUUUCUCGUGUGUGCAGCUACAAAUCUGAACUAUUUGUCUAGACAUUCUAGUACUGAUGCAAUCGCCUAAAAUAAGUUCAAGAAAAAAUCAGUAAGUUUGGUGCGUGUGCUGCUACAAAUCUAAAAUUCUUCUUGAGUCAUUCUAGUAUUGGAAUCUCUUUUAGUCUGUAGCAUAGAGAAUAUUUUUAUGCUCAUUCGUUCAUAGUAUGAAGCUCAUUUAUAGUUUCUUUUCUCAUUCUGUUAAUUAAGAAAAUGCUUAUUGACCUUGAAGCAUAAACCUCUCGGCAAUGUAACAUUCUGCUGAUAUUUUAAUAACCGGUAAGCUGUCGUAGUGGGACAAGGUCAUCAUCUUGAGGAGGUCAGUGAGGUCAGUGAUACCAUGCACGCUGAAACGAUGGCCCUACACCAGACUGUAUGUGUAACUUGGGCUAUGGGAUGCAGGCUGGUGCUGCUUGAAACGGAUGCGACUAACCUGUAGAAAGCAUUACAGGAAGUGAUUUAAGAGAUGAAUGUGGUCAACGACGGUCGCCGCUCCUCGACCCUAUUCUCGUUCGUCACCCAGCUCAACAGUCCACCUCGGUGCUCCACCACCGGUCCCUCGAAGAGCUGGCUGCAGGCCAUCCAUUGCUCCGCCCUGGAUGCUGCCAUGUGGUGGCUGGCCGUCUCACUCCAAUGCACCUCCCUCUCUUUGUGUACUGGUCUCUCUCAAGACUGGAAGUUAUCCCUGAUGUACUCAACACAAGUUCAACAUCAUCAUCUAAAAAGGAAGCAAAAAAGAAAAUCUAUUUACUCACGGAUGCAGACAAAUUUCCGGAGCACAAUAGACUCAUCGGCGCAUGAGUGACCAUUCAUUCAACAACAGUUCAAUUACAAAAAGAACAUCAGUUCAAAAAAAUAUAUGCAAGAGGUUUGGGAGCCAAACAACUGAUAUUUUGUUGUGUUUUAAUUUUUUGGGUGCAUGAUUGAACAAGAGAAAAAAAAUGAUGUAUCAUAUAUAUUCUGUUCUUGUAGGAGGUUCAAAGAUGGUCAUGUAGCAAGUUAAGAGUUUGGUUUCAUGAGAAAAAUGUGUUUUUUGGUCAGGAUUUUGCAUGAUUGAUAGCCAUAAGUGGCAGCCGGCGAGCAGUUCAAGCUGUCUGUUUGAUAGCCAUAAGGGAUGGUCAUCAUUUUCCACAUCCAUCUGGACUGAAUUAUGUUACUCCCUCUGUUCACUUUUGUAAGUCCUUUAGGACAGCUGAAAUUGAACUGUUUUAGGUGUUGUCUUAAAUGUCUAAAUGGUCUUACAAAAGUGAACGGAGGGAGUAGUCUUUUUCAGUUCAUCUUUGAAAUUUUGGUCCAUUUUCUUUUUGCAGGAUGCGUCGAAAAAUAAAAUAAAAGGCAGCAGCUCAAAAAUAGAUGAAUAUUGGAAGUCCGUUGCUAUCUUGAGUUCAUCUUGCAGGUGUUUUGGGCAGUACAAAAUACAUCACCAUAGUUAGUACAGCAAGGAUGGCUUGGUAGUCGCUGGGAUUCCCUGCAGUGGCCAAAUCCCGGUGCCGCUCGUGAUCUCCGCCUCCAUCAGCUCCACCUCGCCGUAGCAAUCAGUCCAGAGGAGGAGGUGUAGCUAGUUCACCCGGUCCAUCCGAUUUUUCUUUCAACAUUUUCUUUGUGAUGCAUGCUCACUGAUGGAUCAACAACUAUUUAUUGACAUGGAGAUGCGCUCCUGCUUUUUUUGAAAAACAAGAUGCCUUUGCAUACUUCAAAGUUGCUGCUUGCUCCCA